ACUCCUACGGGAGGCAGCAGUGGGGAAUAUUGGACAAUGGGCGAAAGCCUGAUCCAGCAAUGCCGCGUGAGUGAUGAAGGCCUUAGGGUUGUAAAGCUCUUUUACCCGGGAUGAUAAUGACAGUACCGGGAGAAUAAGCUCCGGCUAACUCCGUGCCAGCAGCCGCGGUAAU
rnacentral:rRNA from 2 species